rnacentral:rRNA from 1 species
UACGAAGGGGGCUAGCGUUGUUCGGAAUUACUGGGCGUAAAGCGCGCGCAGGCGGCUAUCCAAGUCAGAGGUGAAAGCCCGGGGCUCAACUCCGGAAUUGCCUUUAAGACUGCAUCGCUAGAAUUGUGGAGAGGUAAGUGGAAUUCCGAGUGUAGAGGUGAAAUUCGUAGAUAUUCGGAAGAACACCAGUGGCGAAGGCGACUUACUGGACACAUAUUGACGCUGAGGUGCGAAAGCGUGGGGAGCAAACAGG